rnacentral:rRNA from 1 species
GAUGAACGCUGACAGAAUGCUUAACACAUGCAAGUCAACUUGAACUUCGGUUUGGGUGGCGGACGGGUGAGUAACGCGUAAAGAACUUGCCUCACAGCUAGGGACAACAUUUGGAAACGAAUGCUAAUACCUGAUAUUAUGAUUUUAGGGCAUCCUAGAAUUAUGAAAGCUAUAUGCGCUGUGAGAGAGCUUUGCGUCCCAUUAGCUAGUUGGAGAGGUAACGGCUCACCAAGGCGAUGAUGGGUAGCCGGCCUGAGAGGGUGAACGGCCACAAGGGGACUGGGACACGGCCCUUACUCCUACGGGGGGCAGCAGUGGGGAAUAUAGGACAAUGGACCAAGAGUCUGAAGCAGCAAUUCUGUGUGCACGAUGAAGUUUUUCGGAAUGUAAAGUGCUUUCAGUUGGGAAGAAAAAAAUGACGGUACCAACAGAAGAAGUAACGGCUAAAUACGUG